GGUUCCAAGGUUCAGUGGUUAGCACUCUGGACUUUGAAUUCAGUGUUCUGAGUUCAAGUCUCAGUAGAACCU